AGAGCAUCUGUGGUUGUACCAGAAGAAAAGAUGUCAGAUGUGUACAGUAUUUUGCAGAGCAUCCCCCAAAGACAGAUUGAAGAAAUGCAGAGACAGGCCCGGUGGUUCUGGGAAGCGUACUUCCAGUCAAUUAAAGCCAUUGCCCUGGCCACCCUGCAGAUUAUCAAUGACCGGAUCUAUCCAUAUGCUGCCAUCUCCUAUGAAGAAUGGAAUGACCCUCCUGCUGUGAAGUGGGGCAGCGUGAGCAAUCCACUCUUCCUCCCGCUGAUCCCACCACAGUCUCAAGGGUUCACCGCCAUAGUCCUCACCUACGACCGAGUAGAGAGCCUCUUCCGGGUCAUCACUGAAGUGUCCAAGGUGCCCAGUCUAUCCAAACUACUUGUCGUCUGGAAUAAUCAGAAUAAAAACCCUCCAGAAGGUAAGAAGCCUUAGUGCCUCUCUCAGCUGGAUCGAUUUUGGAUGGCCAAAUUAUUCACAUCCUUUGUUUUAAAUAAAUUUUCCUGCUUUGUCAAUAGCAAUA
rnacentral:sRNA from 1 species